rnacentral:rRNA from 1 species
GACGAACGCUGGCGGCGUGCUUAACACAUGCAAGUCGAACGGAAAGGCCCUGCUUUUGUGGGGUGCUCGAGUGGCGAACGGGUGAGUAACACGUGAGUAACCUGCCCUUGACUUUGGGAUAACUUCAGGAAACUGGGGCUAAUACCGGAUAGGAGCUCCUGCUGCAUGGUGGGGGUUGGAAAGUUUCGGUGGUUGGGGAUGGACUCGCGGCUUAUCAGCUUGUUGGUGGGGUAGUGGCUUACCAAGGCUUUGACGGGUAGCCGGCCUGAGAGGGUGACCGGCCACAUUGGGACUGAGAUACGGCCCAGACUCCUACGGGAGGCAGCAGUGGGGAAUAUUGCACAAUGGGCGGAAGCCUGAUGCAGCAACGCCGCGUGCGGGAUGACGGCCUUCGGGUUGUAAACCGCUUUCGCCUGUGACGAAGCGUGGGUGACGGUAAUGGGUAAAGAAGCACCGGCUAACUACGUG